CAGCGACCUGUUCCCUUAGCCCCUCUGAAGCGUGUGGAGGCUGCAAAAAAAAGGGGUUUGCUGCCGAGAAGGGCGCUGGAGGAGUCGCUUUCCCCCGCCCCGUCCUCGGGCGCUGCCUCCUCAGCGCGGACAAAGGGCGCGGGCUGCCCGGGUUUCGCUUCCCGCCCUCACGGGGCGCCCAGGCCCGACGCCAGCUCGGCGGUGAAAAGCCCGGCGUAAACAGAAGAAGAAGAAAAAAAAAAAGCCCCGAAAGUAGCGCUAAACGGUUAAAAAGAGCGUGGAGGGAGAGCAGAGAAACCUUUUUCACUGGCGUACUGGACCUCACGUAACCCAGGCAGGACAGAUGUUACCAAUAUGGAUUCAUUUCACUUAAGCGCUCAUACACUAAAACUUCAUUACAUAUUAAUAGAAAGACACCACGCCAUGCAACUUGAGGGCUCAGACGGCCACAGGCAUUCUACUCAGACAUCUCCGCUGCAGAGGGACUUUCCUCAAGGGUGUAAUUGUCUCAUUGGGCAACUAACAGGAAAACAACUGGUACCCUGGAGAUGCUGAGAAUUUAGAACCCACAUUGAGAUUUCAGCCUAGCUACUAAACUUUCCAUGAUGUCAGAUGCAUCAGACCUGUGGUGAAGUUUGUCUGCAGGAAAUACCUUCAAGUACAAAAAAGAAUCUGCUUAUCUAGCUACAUGUCAGAUUCCUGUAGAAGAUUCUUCAAUCCGUGACAUAGUAGUUCAGAAAGUGGGCACAGGUGUCACAGUGAAAUAGCUACCGAAUGUUGAAUUAGUGAGCAGGGUGCUGUACUUUCAAAAAGAGUUAUAUUUAUUUCAUUGCUGCAGUUGCAGUAAAGCUUCAGUACUGCUGCAGAUUCCAGAAAACAAAAACUGCAUUCAUAAGGCAAAAGUAUUUGGAAUAGGGGACUUGUAUCACUCUCUUUGGAGAAUCUAUGUUUAGCCAAACAAAGCCUGUUUGUGGUAAAGGAAAAGGAUGAGGCAUGCUUAGAAAAUUCAGUAGUUAUUCAUUUAAUUGCAAGAGAUAAUAAAAUGAGCAGAUUCAAUAAUGGUUACUUCCUGUAUUGCAAAAGUAAGCAUUUAUUUCAGAAAGUAUACUGGAACUGAGCAAAAUAGUCUGAAAAAUAGGUAACUUCCACUAUCCAUGUCAAGCAAAAUUGGCAACUGAAUUCAGCCCAACCACUCUGUUAAUGCAGUGAAAGAGAACUCAGUGAAGAGCAAAAAAAAAAAAAAAAAAGUACACCAAUCUUACUGUUUCAGAAGAAAAAAAAAAUCUGUGUUAAUGUUAUAGAAGAUUCGUAGAGGAUAUUUAUAGACUAUGACAAUUUCUCCUAAAAAUGCUAAAAAGAAUUGAGAUGUUAGCAAGCAGGACUCUAAUCUAUGUUGCUGUUCAGUUGCUGAUAAGAAAAAAGACUUGAAACAAAUCUACUUCCUUAGCUCUCUAAAAAUUCACAUCUUUUCAACAUGAGAGCAAGUCCUCUAAUUUAGUAAAAAAUAAAGAGAACUUUCUUGUGACCUCUGAGACUCGGGUACAGUAAACAUCCCAAAUCUCAAACCAGUUGUCAGAGAUCCUAAUUCUGCAAGACCCUUUCUUGUGAGCACCUGUUCAAAAAAGAUGCGCUUAUAAAAUUCAUGUUUCCAAGCAACAAAGCAAAACAAAGUAAAACAUCACUGUCAGGGGAACGGACAGAGGCAGUGGCCUCAUUAGUAAAGUCUGAUUUUCUGAGGCCAAGCAGUACUAUUCCAAGAGUUCAGGGGAGAUUUUAAGUUACAUGACAUGCAGGAGUUUUACCCUUGUCUUAACAGAGCCAUAACGUCACAGGACCUGGAAUUCCAGAGUUGGAGACUGAUCUUUUCAGUUUUAUUCUUGGCUUAGGUAUGGAGUCUGAUUUUGGAAGAAUUGUUUAGUUCCUUCGUUUUAUGCGCAGCAGUGAGGAAUGGACAUAAUCACGCACAGUGGUAUUGCAAACUUAAAACAGUAACAUUUCCAAUGUAUUUCGAGAUUUUGGAGGUUGGAAGAAAGGAAGAAAUUGUAGCUAUUGUUGCUGCUGUUACUGAGUUCUGUUUGUCAGUUCUAGAAAUAGGAUUUGAAAUCCAUUGGCAGGAAUAUGGGACAAGUUACUACCUUUUUUUUUGGUGGGAUUCACACCUGGAAAUAUGUGCUUGAGCCAGCAGGAAGUCUCUCUUUGGGAAGAAUUAACAUGUGAGUAAAUAAACAGCAGGCAAAACUAGUUUGUUAUACAAAUUACACAUCGUGGAAUAAAUUAAGCCCUUCUACAUGUAUACAUUUGCUUAAACAAAACUAUUGAAAACAAUUUUGGUGGAAAACAUUUUGAAAACCUUAGAACACAGAUUUGGACUAGUGUUUUAAAGGGUUAAGGCAAGCAUUCACAAACUAGAUAGUCAAAGUAACAUAAACCACAGGCUUUUCCCACUGAUAACAGGUCUCCAUGAACAUGCACAAAACUAGGAAGAGAACUCACAAACAAGUAAUGUGAUUAGUUAUUUCUACAGAAGCUGUAGCUUUCAGUUAGCUGAACAAACUAGUUUUGGAUAAAUUCUAUUCUUAGGUGAUUAUUAUGUGCCAAAUUUUGAUGCUUGAUUGAAGACAUUUUUUACUUGCAAACUGUAACAGCUGGAAACCAGGUUUUAUAUUAUACUGUGAACAACAUGCUAACAAUUUUUUUACGGAAGAAAGCUCAGCAACAGAGCUAUAAUAUUUCCUGUGUGUGUUUAGGCUGAGUUAUGCUGUUAUAUUACUGAUAUGUAUUAUGCUAAUGCAAUAAAACAUAAAGACUAUUGUAUCUUUUGUAUCUUCUACCACAGUGGUAACAGUAGGGAUUUGCAUUGGUAAUAUAACAGCAGCAGAACAAUUUAGAGAAUUGUUGAAGUUUCCUUUUUGAGGUUAUGGAUCCAAGCCUACAAGUCAGUAAAAUUCCCCACUAACUUCAGUGACUCCUGGAAGGCUUAGAACUGGAAAAAAACAACACCAUGAAAGACAGACACAGCAAUAUGCUAUUCAUCACUUAAUUAAAAACACAACAUAUAUGGUGACAAUUUCAAAUAUGUGAACUUACUGCACUAUUUGAACAGCUUUUUUUAAGAAUCAUUUUAAAAUACUAAAUUCAAAGGAAAGAAAACAAGUGAUCAAGUGGUUUCAUUUUUCCAUGUUAAUACCUUUUACUUAAAUUUUUGGAUGUAUGGAUUAUGGACUACCAUGAUAAUAUGCCUGAAGAUGUUUUAAAGAAUAUGUCAGACGAGAAAAAAAAUAAAAGACACCCUAAAAACCAGUUCCUAUCCAUAACAUCCUAUAGUAUUAGACACUCAAGAAGCGAAUGUACUUCUCACAAUUUAAAAUGUGUUUGCUUUUUUUUGCAUUUAAUUUAGUUUUAUUAUCAGAUUAGUCAAUUGCAGUUUUUGCAUCUCCUAUAUUUCUUUACUAGGGGCAUGUGUGUGUUAAAUCCUCAUAAGAAAUGUAAUACAAAUAACCAGGAAUGACAUUUUCAGCAUUUUUAAUAAAAUCUUUUUCCGCUAUAAAAAUUAAUGUUGGAGUCUCA